rnacentral:lncRNA from 1 species
AGAAGCCUGUUACCAGAAGCACUGGUUACUUCCCCCGUCCUCUCAGCUCUGGGAAGGGUGGGGUGGUCAUGAAGUCCUGAGAGAGCAGAGGGACACACCAACUUCUCUUGUUGGUUCCCUCAACCCUGCCCAUACCUAUGGGUAAUCAGAGAUGGAUUCAGUCUCCAGUUAGGAUCCUCAUCAAGGUAUUUGUAUGGGGGAUUCCAUGCAGAUGGUGUAUAGAGAGAAGAUAGACACAAGGGAUCUUCAUAGCCAAGGACUGGAUUUGAACAAGUCAGUCUCCAGCUAUGUUUUAGACACUGAGGACUGUGCCCGUCAUCCCUUAGAGCUUCUCUCUGGGCCACUGGCUCGAAGGGCACAUCUCAGGGAAAAAGGUCAGUGUGAUUCCCUUAUUUCUUUGUGGAAAGACCUCAGUAGCCAAAGGUGUUUGCCCGUGUUAUUUGUCUGAACAAGAUCUUCUCUAGGACAGCUAGGUCCACAGGACAGCACCAAGAGUUACUCUGCAUGCUUAUAGUACCUGCUUACGAACAGAAACAGAGGCAAUAUUCACAUGAAAGCUCAAAUGUGGAUCUCUCCUACCAUAGUCACGUCUUCACAAGCUGACAGCCCUCUCAAUUCUGAGAUUUGUUAUUCAGUCUUUUCCCAAUAGGAUCUACAAAGCACCUCUUGACCAUUUAUCAUGCAUGGAACCAACAUGUCAAAUUCCUCAAUAACUGAUUCCCGCCUAGGAUCACACUCAUUGACUAGCUCCGCCAAUUCUUACAAUUCAUUCAGGCUCUGCUACAAGCAUACAGCUUUGCUAGAAGUAGAUUUCUUCUAGGAAAUUUCAUGCUACUGAGAGGUUGUGUGGCAGAGCCAUGUUGCCAUUCUUCCAGCAUGACUUGAUAGCUAAGUUGAACACUAUCCCAAGGAGAUGCCUCCUUGACAACUUACACUGCAAAGUGAAUCAUAACCCUGACCCUGGAGACUGCUAUAACGGGCUCCUGUGAGAGUUCUAUUUGCAGAACCCAGAAUUCACAACGGAACAUCAACAUAUCCAAAAGACAAGUUUCAAUGAACAGAUUCUCAGCAAAAGGACUCUAAGGAUGCAGAGGAAGGGAAGUCACCCAAUCUGGGAAGGAGGUUUUUAUUAAGUAUAAAAACAGGUCAUCCACACAUAGCAAUGUGCUUUUCUAGAGAAAACCAUCCUACUCACCGAGAGCCAGGAUUGAGUGGGGCUUCUGCUGUGUCUCUAGAUGAUGCCUUAAGAAACACCCACUCCCCGUGAGGGAUGUUACCAAGAAGUCAAGAACCACCAGUAACUUUGAAAAGUCCAGAUUACUCAGUCUCGGGUAUGUGUAUCAGCAAUGUGAAAACGGACUAGUACAUCUCUAGAGGCACAUGCCAUGUGGUCCAGCCAUAAUUAUUUGUUGUCACAACUAAGUUUCCUUUCUAUAUGAAAAGAUUAUAUUGAUCAGAAUUCUAAA